AUUGAACGCUGGCGGCAUGCCUUACACAUGCAAGUCGAACGGCAGCACGGGGCAACCUGGUGGCGAGUGGCGAACGGGUGAGUAAUGCAUCGGAACGUACCUUUCAGUGGGGGAUAACGUAGCGAAAGUUACGCUAAUACCGCAUAUUCUGUGAGCAGGAAAGCAGGGGAUCGCAAGACCUUGCGCUGAUUGAGCGGCCGAUGUCAGAUUAGCUAGUUGGUGGGGUAAAGGCUCACCAAGGCGACGAUCUGUAGCGGGUCUGAGAGGAUGAUCCGCCACACCGGUACUGAGACACGGUCGAGACUACAACGUGAGGCAGCAGUUGGGAAUUUUGGACAAUGGGGGCAACCAGGGUCCAGCCAUGCCGGGUGAGUGAAGAAGGCCUUCGGGUUGUAAAGCUCUUUCGGGCGGGAAGAAAUCGCACGGGCUAAUACCCUGUGUGGAUGACGGUACCGGAAUAAGAAGCACCGGCUAACUACGUGCCAGCCGCCGCGGUAAAAC
rnacentral:rRNA from 1 species